UACAGAGGUCCCAAGCGUUGUUCGGAUUUACUGGGCGUAAAGGGUGCGUAGGUGGUCGGGUAAGUCUCAUGUGAAAUCUCCAAGCUUAACUUGGAAAUGGCAUGGGAUACUAUUCGGCUAGAGGAUUGGAGGGGGGACUGGAAUUCCCGGUGUAGCAGUGAAAUGCGUAGAUAUCGGGAGGAGCACCAGUGGCGAAGGCGAGUCCCUGGACAAUUCCUGACGCUGAGGCACGAAAGCUAGGGGAGCAAACAGG
rnacentral:rRNA from 1 species